rnacentral:lncRNA from 1 species
GGUGGAUAACAUUUGAGCAUACAUACAUGAUGAUAACACCUGUUUAAAUUCUUUAAAGAGUAUAAAAAGUAAAAGACCUCUAGGCUAAACUAUCAUACCAAUUUUCUCUGACUUACCAUGAAAUAUUUAAUCAUCCUUCUUUUCAUCUGGACUACACAUGCCUAUAACUUUUCUAAAAAUUGUGGAGUGUCUACCACCUUGGGAACGCUGCUGGAUGCACACCUGUUAAAGGUGAAAAGAGAGCAAUAGUUCCGCCUGGUCAAAUGCCAUGGCAUGUUCAAGUUAAUAUAACACACAAAGGGGUAUCCAAAUUGCUUUGCUCAGGUGUUCUUAUAACCAUGAGGCACAUUUUAACAGCAGCACAAUGCUUGACUGUGAAUAAUACAAUAAGACCUUAUGAUAAGAUUAAAGUAAGUUUGCAAAACUUUUCAUAGA